AGAGUUUGAUCAUGGCUCAGGACGAACGCUGGCGGCGUGCUUAACACAUGCAAGUCGAACGGAAAGCGCUCUUCGGAGUGACUCGAGUGGCGAACGGGUGAGUAACACGUGGGUGAUCUGCCCUGCACUUUGGGAUAAGCCUGGGAAACUGGGUCUAAUACCGGAUAGGACUACGGCCUGCAUGGGUUGUGGUGGAAAGCUUUUGCGGUGUGGGAUGGGCCCGCGGCCUAUCAGCUUGUUGGUGGGGUGAUGGCCUACCAAGGCGACGACGGGUAGCCGGCCUGAGAGGGUGUCCGGCCACACUGGGACUGAGAUACGGCCCAGACUCCUACGGGAGGCAGCAGUGGGGAAUAUUGCACAAUGGGCGCAAGCCUGAUGCAGCGACGCCGCGUGAGGGAUGACGGCCUUCGGGUUGUAAACCUCUUUCAGCACAGACGAAGCGCAAGUGACGGUAUGUGCAGAGGAAGCACCGGCCAACUACGUGCCAGCAGCCGCGGUAAUACGUAGGGUGCGAGCGUUGUCCGGAAUUACUGGGCGUAAAGAGCUCGUAGGUGGUUUGUCGCGUUGUUCGUGAAAACUCACAGCUUAACUGUGGGCGUGCGGGCGAUACGGGCAGACUGGAGUACUGCAGGGGAGACUGGAAUUCCUGGUGUAGCGGUGGAAUGCGCAGAUAUCAGGAGGAACACCGGUGGCGAAGGCGGGUCUCUGGGCAGUAACUGACGCUGAGGAGCGAAAGCGUGGGGAGCGAACAGGAUUAGAUACCCUAGUAGUCC
rnacentral:rRNA from 1 species